rnacentral:rRNA from 1 species
UGACGGUACCUCAUGAAUAAGCCACGGCUAACUACGUGCCAGCAGCCGCGGUAAUACGUAGGUGGCAAGCGUUAUCCGGAUUUACUGGGUGUAAAGGGCGCGUAGGCGGGGAUGCAAGUCAGAUGUGAAAUCCAUGGGCUUAACUCAUGAACUGCAUUUGAAACUGUAUCUCUUGAGUGCUGGAGAGGUAGAUGGAAUUCCUUGUGUAGCGGUGAAAUGCGUAGAUAUAAGGAAGAACACCAGUGGCGAAGGCGAUCUACUGGACAGUAACUGACGCUGAGGCGCGAAAGCGUGGGGAGCAAACAGGAUUAGAUACCCUG